rnacentral:rRNA from 1 species
GACGAACGCUGGCGGCGCGCUUAACACAUGCAAGUCGAACGGAAAGGCCUGCUUUCCCUUGUGGAUUGCGGGUACUCGAGUGGCGAACGGGUGAGUAACACGUGAGUGAUCUACCCCCAACUUGGGUAUAAGGCUGGGAAACUGGGUCUAAUUCCCGAUAGGACUGGAGGGUGGUGGCUGUGGUGGAAAACGAUUUUCUAGUGGUUGGGGAUGAGCUCGCCGGCUAUUAGCUUGUUGGUGGGGUAAUGGAGUGCCAAGGCGGCGACGGCUAGCCGGGCUGAGGAGGCUGACCGGCACAGUGAGAAUGAGCAGCGACCCUGAGACUGAGAGAAGGCCGAGACGGGGAAGGGAGGAAGCAGUGGGGAAUACUGGAGCAGGGGCGCAAGCUUGAUGAUGCCGGGCUGCGUGAUGUAUGCAGCUCUUAGGGUCGUAAAGGCCUCCUAGUUGGGAGGAUAAUGACGGUAGUUGGAGAAGAAGCACCGGCUAACUACGUG